GGUGGUGGGUAUCACAGUUUUUCUGUUGUUUUAAGAUGCUUUUUCUGUCGUCUACCUGAAGCUCAAGACUCUAUUCUUCCCCAACAGCAUCCUGGCAUGGCAGGUGGUCCUGGUGCGCGGGAUGGCUGGUGACUGCCUCGGCUCGGCAACGUUGGGCAGGGUUGCUUGAUGUUUAGGAGCGCCCUCAGCCGAUGGCCUGCCCGCUGGAUAGACCCGAGGAAUUACUCGCUUAAUGGAAAAGGCCAAGAUCUUCUGAGCCCCUGUGCGCCGUGAAGGGGUUCGGUUUGCUUUCCGUAGGGCCUAAAUCGUGGGGAAGCUGUGGUGUGGAACACGUCUAAGUGGAGCAUGGAGCUGAGCUGAGCCGGUCCCUGAGGGUUUCAGUGCUGCAGUGCAAGACUUAAUUCUUUUCCAGCCCUCUCUGGAAGCGGGAGCUCCCCCAGGUGGGAAGAGCUGCUCCUGUGCUCCACUCACCACGGGGAGAGGGAACUUCUUUGGCUCCGGGUGCUGCUCAAGCUCCCGUUUAAACAUUCUGCAUGGAAGAGCGGUCACUUCCUUGGAGUUUUCUCAGGAGAAGAGCUUGGGGGAGGGUCUGGACAUAAAACAUUUUGAGGGUGAAUAAACACAAUCACUUGAAACUCUU